rnacentral:SRP_RNA from 1 species
GCUGGGCGUGGUGGCACAUGCCUGUAAUCCCAGCUACUCGGGAGGCUGAGGCAGGAGAAUCACUUCAACCUGGGAGGGAGAGGUUGUGGUAAGCCAAGAUCGCGCUAUUGCACUCCAGCCUGGGCAACAAGAGCAAAACUCCAUCUCAAGAAAAAAAAAGUUUUGUUUUCUUUUGGUUUUUUUGAGAUGGAGUCUUGCUCUGUCGCCCAGGCUGGAGUGCAAUGGUGCGAUCUUGGCUCACUGCAACCUCCGCCUCCUGGGUUCAAGCGAUUCUCCUGCCUCAA